UAGCGCGGUGGUCCCACCUGACCCCAUGCCGAACUCAGAAGUGAAACGCCGUAGCGCCGAUGAUAGUGUGGGGUCUCCCCAUGCGAGAGUAGGGAACUGCCAGGC
rnacentral:rRNA from 3 species